rnacentral:rRNA from 1 species
AUGGGCCUAGUAGGCUACUGGACAAGACAUGGAGGGCCAAGACUCAGGAAAAAUAAAAAGACAGGACAAGACCGGACGACUCCUCUGUACAAGUACGACGCCGAGCUCGCUUCUUUCAACAUGAAAAGAGGUGAAGACACCAAGGAGGCAGAGGAGCCCGUAAUGGUGAUAGGGGCAGCUGCCGAACAGACUUCAACUGUGGCGCCUCCGGAUCCAUCCGCAAUGACAUCCGUCUCCAUCUUCCUGGAUCAGAGUGAAAUAGGUGGAAACAACGAUGCCAGACUGUUCCUCAGCUACUGUCUAUGGCACAAGGUUGCAUAG